AAACUUACUCGGCGUAGGAGAUACCGUGAUCAUGAAGGCGGUUCUCCCGGAGUGUAGCUCAAUCAUUGCACUUCGAUUGAGUUCACCUCCGCGAUAUUCCGAAUGGGAAUUGUUCGUGCGUGCAAUUUUUGGAAGCCGGGAUUGGAGAUAGCUCCAUCCCGAC